AAUGAUGGAAAGGAGUUUCCAUAAGAUUUUACAUAUGAACUCAAGUCGAUUGAAUAUAACAUAUGACAGGCGAUGAGGUUUGACGAGUCCAUAAUCUCUGUCUUGUUGAAACUCACGAUAGAAAGACUGAAUCAUAUGAUAACUGCACCUAGAGAUUCAUUAUUCAAUUCUACUGAGUUACCACUAUAUACUGCUAGAUGUCCCU
rnacentral:lncRNA from 1 species